rnacentral:tRNA from 1 species
AAAAAGAUAAGCUAAAUAAAGCUGUUGGGUUCAUACCCCGAAUAUAAAGUUGAUCUUUUCUUUUUA